GUCCAGCUGGUAAAGCGUGGGACUCUUAAUCCCAGGGUUGUGGGUUCAAGCCCCACGCUGGGUG
rnacentral:tRNA from 1 species